rnacentral:rRNA from 1 species
AACUUUCAGCAACGGAUCUCUUGGCUCUCGCAUCGAUGAAGGACGCAGCGAAAUGCGAUAAGUAAUGUGAAUUGCAGAAUUCAGUGAAUCAUCGAAUCUUUGAACGCACCUUGCACUCCUUGGUAUUCCGAGGAGUAUGCCUGUUUGAG